rnacentral:rRNA from 1 species
AACGAACGCUGGCGGCAGGCCUAACACAUGCAAGUCGAACGCCGUAGCAAUACGGAGUGGCAGACGGGUGAGUAACGCGUGGGAACCUUCCCUAUGGUUCGGAAUAGCUCAGGGAAACCUGGGGUAAUACCGGAUAAGCCCUUCGGGGGAAAGAUUUAUCGCCAUUGGAUGGGCCCGCGUCGGAUUAGCUAGUUGGUGGGGUAACGGCCUACCAAGGCGACGAUCCGUAGCUGGUCUGAGAGGAUGAUCAGCCACACUGGGACUGAGACACGGCCCAGACUCCUACGGAAGGCAGCAGUGGGGAAUAUUGGACAAUGGGCGAAAGCCUGAUCCAGCCAUGCCGCGUGAGUGACGAAGGCCUUAGGGUUGUAAAGCUCUUUUGCCGGGGAAGAUAAUGACGGUACCCGGAGAAUAAGUCCCGGCUAACUUCGUGCCAGCCGCCGCCGUAA